UGUGACUGUGUGUGUUUGUGUCUGACUGUGUGUGUGUUUGUGUCUGUGUGUGUGUCUGACUGUGUGUGUGUGUUUGUGUGUGUGUCUGACUGUGUGUUUGUGUCUGUGUGUGUUUGUGUCUGACUGUGUGUGUGACUGUGUGUUUGUGUCUGACUGUGUGUUUGUGUCUGACUCUGUGUGUGUGUGUGUGUGUCUGACUGUGUGUGUGUGUUUGUGUCUGUGUGUGUCUGACUGUGUGUUUGUG